rnacentral:lncRNA from 1 species
AUGGUUGGUUGCAGACCCAGGUACCACUCUAUGGUCCUCUUACUGACCUUUCCUGAUUUUUGCAAUAUUCAGUUUGGAAGAAAAGUCAAAGCAGUACUACUAUUGGGUUUGAACUGUAGUUAUAUUAGUAAAAAUGACUUGGAGCUCACCCUUCCAAGAAAGAUCAUCCUAACUGCCCAUCAUGGGUACAGCAGAGGCUCUGCCUGAAAAAGCAAAAUGUCUUACUUUAAAGAUCACAAGGCAAGAUUUUCUUCAAGAAGCAAACACUCUCAUUGCUCAACAUUAUGAGAAAAUAAAUGAGGUUACGGCUUUUCAUUUAUCUAAUAUUGUUAAUUGUUAUUAGUUAAUGAUAACUAUUUUUUGUGUACUACAAUGGUUGUUCCAAAGGAUUGCAUGAAUCCUAGCAUGAGAUAGGUUCUUAAUAGGGGAGCAAAUGAAAUACUUAGUAGCUGAAAAAAUUGAUUUUAAAUGACAUUUAAAAAUAAGAUUACUUAGUUCUACAAAUUAUUUAAUUCUUCAUAUAUAUUUAGUUGUACAUGCAAAACAAUUUUGACAAUUUCUUUUGAUGAAUUAUAACACACUAAUAAAUAACCUUUGAGUUCUAGUUGGAUGAGCUAAGGUGAAAAAUCUACUGUGCUACGCAUAUCUUUUGUGCCCUUAGUUUGAUGCCCUUACCUGUGUCUUCCCCCACGUGGGUUUGCAUUAGAACCGUCUGUCUGCCAGGCAGGUAGCUAUUCAAGGACAUAGACUGUCUUUUUUGUAUGUUGUAUCUCAAGGGACAAACACUCUGCCUCACUAAUUAAGUAUCUACUGGAUAGCGUAGGUUUGGAAGGUGAGCAAAGAGGGCAAAAGGGGAUGGGAUGGCAUAGAAGGAUCCACAGAGUAACUUGGGGAGGGGUCAGCUUUGUGACAAAUGGACCUUUGGG